AUGGCCGAAGUCACUGUUUCACUAACCAGUGCUUUAUCCUCCACCUUAGGUGUCCACGCCAGUGUUCAGCUUGUGGAAUCCGGACCAGGAACACUGAAGCCUGGGCAAACGCUCAGACUCUCCUGUGCAGUCACUGGGGAUUCUGUGGAGAACAGCUACUGGCAUUGGGUCCGCCAAGCUCCUGGAAAGGGACUGGAAUGGGUGGGACGGAUAGACUGGAGUGGUAGCACAUGGCGUAUAUUCUACACAUCAUCUCUCCAAAGCCGAGCCACCCUCUCUGCCGAUUCCUCCAAGAACGAGUAUUAUCUUGAGCUGAGGUCCCUGACAGCUGCCGACACUGGCGUGUAUUACUGUGCCCGAGAAUCACAGUGA